UACAGAGGUCUCAAGCGUUGUUCGGAUUCAUUGGGCGUAAAGGGUGUGUAGGUGGCGCGCUAAGUCGGGUGUGAAAUUUCGGAGCUUAACUCCGAAACUGCAUUCGAUACUGGCGUGCUUGAGGACUGGAGAGGAGACUGGAAUUCAUGGUGUAGCAGUGAAAUGCGCAGAGAUCGGGAGGAACACCCGUAGCGAAGGCGGCACUCUGGGCCGGUACUGACGCUGAGGAGCGAAAGCGUGGGGAGCGAACAGG
rnacentral:rRNA from 1 species